rnacentral:rRNA from 1 species
AGUGAACGCUGGCGGCGUGCCUAAUACAUGCAAGUCGAACGGAGAUUAAGUAGCUUGCUAUUUAAUCUUAGUGGCGCACGGGUGAGUAAUAUAUAGCUAACUUGCCCAUUACUAAGGGACAACAGUUGGAAACGACUGCUAAUACCUUAUACUCCGUAUCUAUAUAAGUAGAUACGGGAAAGUUUUUCGGUAAUGGAUAGGGCUAUAUCGUAUCAGCUAGUUGGUAAGGUAAUGGCUUACCAAGGCUAUGACGCGUAACUGGUCUGAGAGGAUGAUCAGUCACACUGGAACAGAGACACGGUCCAGACUCCUACGGGAGGCAGCAGUAGGGAAUAUUGCUCAAUGGGGGAAACCCUGAAGCAGCAACGCCGCGUGGAGGAUGACACUUUUCGGAGCGUAAACUCCUUUUCUUGGGAAAGAAUUAUGACGGUACCCAAGGAAUAAGCACCGGCUAACUCCGUG